UGAGGAAUAUUGGACAAUGGGUGAGAGCCUGAUCCAGCCAUCCCGCGUGAAGGAUGACGGUCCUAUGGAUUGUAAACUUCUUUUGUACAGGGAUAAACCUACUCUCGUGAGGGUAGCUGAAGGUACUGUACGAAUAAGCACCGGCUAACUCCGUGCCAGCAGCCGCGGUAAUACGGAGGGUGCAAGCGUUAUCCGGCUUUAUUGGGUUUAAAGGGUCCGUAGGCGGACUUGUAAGUCAGUGGUGAAAUCUCAUAGCUUAACUAUGAAACUGCCAGUGAUACUGCAGGUCUUGAGUAAAUUUGAAGUGGCUGGAAUAAGUAGUGUAGCGGUGAAAUGCAUAGAUAUUACUUAGAACACCAAUUGCGAAGGCAGGUCACUAAGAUUUAACUGACGCUGAUGGACGAAAGCGUGGGGAGCGAACA
rnacentral:rRNA from 1 species